GCCGAUGUAGCUCAGUGGUAGAGCAACGCUUUCGUAAAGCGUGGGUCGUCGGUUCAAAUCCGACCAUCGGCU
rnacentral:tRNA from 1 species